rnacentral:rRNA from 1 species
GAUGAACGCUGGCGGCGUGCCUAAUACAUGCAAGUCGAGCGAACGGACGAGAAGCUUGCUUCUCUGAUGUUAGCGGCGGACGGGUGAGUAACACGUGGAUAACCUACCUAUAAGACUGGGAUAACUUCGGGAAACCGGAUCUAAUACCGGAUGAUAUUUUGAACCGCAUGGUUCAAAAGUGAAAGACGGUCUUGCUGUCACUUAUAGAUGGAUCCGCGCUGCAUUAGCUAGUUGGUAAGGUAACGGCUUACCAAGGCAACGAUGCAUAGCCGACCUGAGAGGGUGAUCGGCCACACUGGAACUGAGACACGGUCCAGACUCCUACGGGAGGCAGCAGUAGGGAAUCUUCCGCAAUGGGCGAAGGCCUGACGGAGCAACGCCGCGUGAGUGAUGAAGGUCUUCGGUUCGUAAAACUCUGUUAUUAGGGAAGAACAUAUGUGUAAGUAACUGUGCACAUCUUGACGGUACCUAAUCAGAAAGCCACGGCUAACUACGUG